rnacentral:tRNA from 1 species
GAAGGUAUAGCUCAGUACUAGAGUACCUGCUUAGCAUGCACGAGGUCCUGGGUUCAAUCCCCAGCACCUCCA